rnacentral:rRNA from 1 species
CGGCGGCCCAAGUGGUGGCCGCUAUUAUUGGGCCUAAAGCGUCCGUAGCCGGGCCCGUAAGUCCCUGGCGAAAUCCCACGGCUCAACCGUGGGGCUUGCUGGGGAUACUGCGGGCCUUGGGACCGGGAGAGGCCGGGGGUACCCCUGGGGUAGGGGUGAAAUCCUAUAAUCCCAGGGGGACCGCCAGUGGCGAAGGCGCCCGGCUGGAACGGGUCCGACGGUGAGGGACGAAGGCCAGGGGAGCGAACCGGAUUAGAUACCCGUGUAGUCC